rnacentral:rRNA from 1 species
CCUACGGGAGGCAGCAGUGAGGAAUAUUGGUCAAUGGGCGGGAGCCUGAACCAGCCAAGUCGCGUGAAGGAAGAAGGUACUUAGUAUUGUAAACUUCUUUUGUCGGGGAACAAAGGCGGAGACGCGUCUCCGGAUGAGUGUACCCGAAGAAACAGCCUCGGCUAACUCUGUGCCAGCAGCCGCGGUAAUACGGAGGAUGCGAGCGUUAUCCGGAUUUAUUGGGUUUAAAGGGUGCGCAGGCGGGAGAUCAAGUCAGCGGUAAAAUGUCGGGGCUCAACCCCGGCCGGCCGUUGAAACUGGUUGUCUAGAGUUGGAGAGAAGUAGGCGGAAUUCGUGGUGUAGCGGUGAAAUGCAUAGAUAUCACGAAGAACUCCGAUUGCGAAGGCAGCAUACCGGCUCCAUACUGACGCUGAGGCACGAAAGCGUGGGGAUCGAACAGGAUUAGAUACCCUUGUAGUC